rnacentral:rRNA from 1 species
UACGUAGGGUGCAAGCGUUAAUCGGAAUUACUGGGCGUAAAGCGUGCGCAGGCGGUGAUGUAAGACAGAUGUGAAAUCCCCGGGCUCAACCUGGGAACUGCAUUUGUGACUGCAUCGCUGGAGUGCGGCAGAGGGGGAUGGAAUUCCGCGUGUAGCAGUGAAAUGCGUAGAUAUGCGGAGGAACACCGAUGGCGAAGGCAGCUUGCUGGGACGGUACUGACGCUGAGGCGCGAAAGCGUGGGGAGCAAACAGG